AGCGGUGCAUGAUCUGCACGUGAGGAGGUGGGAACAUCAUGUUCCCCGCGAGGCGGAGAAUAGGGCGGACUUCUUGCCGACGAUUCCGACGCCCGCCCUGCUUCUUAAAAUCCCCAUCCUCGAGUUCCCCACGUCAAGCGCCCGUUUAAUAGCUAGAAGAGCUUCAAUUCGAUCGGUUCUUAGAUUUCGAUCCUCCUCUCCUCUGUCGUCGUCGCCGCACUCUCGGGUUCGCUUGGUGCAGGUCGGGAACCGAUCGGCCGUCGGCGCCGUAGCUACGAUGGAUAGGGCGGGCGCUUCCUGCCUCCCCUCGUGCCUUUUCUGCUCGAUUCCCCACUUGCAUCAAGUGAAUUCGAGAAUCCUUGGCGAAAAAGCAAGCUCCUUUUUUGGAUUUGGUCUCUUCAAAUCAUGAUGACCUUCUCUGGUUCUGGUAAGAGAUGCACUCAGAGGCAUCAAUGUCCUUCUCAGGCAAUGACAAGCACAAGCACGAGAGACGGGAAUCUAAGCGUUCAAAAGAAGACAGCCAAAGCAUUGGAGUUUUGUGGCUUUGUGAUAUGCCCAAACUUUUUUUAAUAAAGCAACUUUCUGAAGAACAUUUUAAGUUGCCGGAUGAGGCCUGCUGUUCUGAAGAAAAAAAGAAAAAGAGAAUUGGCUCGGCUUUCUGGUGGUUUGCUGGUUAAAGUUCUUAUCACUGAGGCAAAGAUGGCGACUAAAGU